UUAGGAAUUUUGGGCAAUGGGCGAAAGCCUGACCCAGCAACGCCGCGUGGGUGAUGAAGGCCUUCGGGUCGUAAAGCCCUUUUGUACGGGAAGAAGAUCUGACGGUACCGUACGAAUAAGCCCCGGCUAACUACGUGCCAGCAGCCGCGGUGAUACGUAGGGGGCGAGCGUUGUCCGGAUUUACUGGGCGUAAAAGGCUCGCAGGCGGCUCGUCAAGUCGGAUGUGAAAUCUCCCGGCUCAACUGGGAGGGGUCAUUCGAUACUAGCGGGCUCGAGGCCGGUAGAGGGAAGCGGAAUUCCCGGUGUAGUGGUGGAAUACGUAGAUAUCGGGAGGAACACCAGUGGCGAAGGCGGCUUCCUGGACCGGUUCUGACGCUCAUGAGCGAAAGCGUGGGGAGCGAUCGGGAUUAGAUACCCCCGUAGUCC
rnacentral:rRNA from 1 species